rnacentral:snRNA from 1 species
GUGCUUGCUUUGGCAGCAUAUAUACUAAAAUAGGAAUGAUAUAGAGAUUAGCAUGGCUCCUGUGCGAGGAUGACACGUAAAUUCAUGAAGCACUCCAUAUUUUU